rnacentral:misc_RNA from 1 species
CCAUUGUACGUUGUGUAAAGACGCACUCGGUGAAGCUCAUUAUUUUUGAGGAUUUAGGGGCUCCUAGGCCCUUCAUCAGCCACCAGCAUGUCAUCACCCAGUGCAGGAAAGCGCCGAAUGGACACUGAUGUCAUCAAACUUAUUGAGAAGAAGCAUGAGGUAACCAUGCUAAAUGGCCUUAACGAAUUUUGUGUCAAGUUUUAUGGUCCAAAAGGCACUCCAUAUGAAGGGGGUGUCUGGAAAGUCCGUGUCCACCUUCCUGAACAUUACCCUUUUAAAUCUCCAAGCAUUGGCUUCAUGAAUAAAGUUUACCAUCCAAACAUAGAUGAAGUAUCAGGCACUGUUUGUCUGGAUGUCAUAAACCAGGCCUGGACGGCUCUGUAUGAUCUGUCAAACAUUUUUGAAAGUUUCCUACCACAGCUGCUAACUUACCCUAACCCGAUUGAUCCUCUCAAUGGUGACGCUGCAGCUAUGUAUCUCCACAAACCCGAAGAGUACAAGAAGAAAGUAUCAGAUUAUGUGAAACGAUACGCAACGGAAGAAGCGCUAAAGGAACAAGAAGCAGCCCAAGCCGACUCCUCAGACUCAGAGUCCUCCAUGUCAGACUUUUCCGAAGAUGAAGCACAAGACAUGGAGCUCUAACCAUCCCAUUCGACACCCCCACCCCCAUGCCCCUAAUUAUCAUCAUCUCUUUUUUCAUCUCACCCCUCCUUCCUCCCUCAUUCCUCUUUUCUCCCCCCUUAUCCUGUUCUUAUAACAUCAUCUUUCCUUGCCUUCAUUUAUCAUUACCCUUUCUUCUCUCUUUAUCCUCCCUCUCCAAAAUCAUUGUCCUCUCUUCCUCACUAUUCACUCCUUAUUCACUCCUCUAUCCCCUUCACUCCCCCACUCCCCCCUCCUCCUCACCUCGUGCUCCAGGCUCACUGCCAGCUGCUCAUCCAAUCUCUCGCAGUUGUUCUCUAUGGUGCCGCCAGCCCCUCAAAACCCGAGAGGAAAUGAAAAGGCUGUGUCUCAUCUGUUUGAGGAUCAUUGUGUCAGAUGGAAAACCUGACAGGGACUAUUAUUUAACAUUUUUUUGGCAAGUGAAAUGGAGGAGUCUUGUUAUGAUUUGAGUAUCAUGUUCUCUCUGCGAGGAACACCAUUGAAGUAACAUUAUCCACAAGUCUUUUCUGGUGAACUCUAAGCACAGUAAAUAUGUACAUGUGAU